UCAAGGGAGGCUCCUUUCUCUGUGAUAACUCCAGCUUGUGUCAAGUUGACACACAAAACCAGGCAGUACAGGAAGGGUAUGUGAAUCCUUUGAAGGAGAGAACACAGGUAGGAAUGGGUUGACUUACUAAUGGUCCAUUUAGAGAGUUUUUACUUUCUUCUCUACACCUCUAGAUCUACAAGUUCAAGAUACUUCUACCAGGAAACACUGUGAGCCAUCAAACUUCAAGCUGUGGUACUAGUUAGUCUCAUUACUAGUUAGUCUCAUUGGAGUCUGUGUUCCAAUAGGACAGUGAGAAAGAGUGUGCCAUCAGUUUGGCAUAGUCAAUUGACCAGGAUAAUCAGGAGAUGAAGUGAGGAGGCAGGAGAGACCAGCCCUGCAUAUCACAUCAGGUGACUCUACUCUGAUGAUUCUGAGGGAAAAAGCCAGACACCACACGAUGCCCUAAGCACUGCAGGAUCUGUGAGAAAUUAGCUCUGUCAAGAGCAGAGAAAUUUCCUUCAGCAAAGUUGCAAACUGAGGCAUCUAGAAUAAGUAGUUGCAAAGAAGAUGGUGCCUAUCAGAUGCCGUUAAGAUAACUGGCUGUUUUAGCUUGCUCUGAGUUACCCUGGUUUAACCACUGAGAAUCUCACAUCCUGGGUGAAGCAGGGCAGCUGCACUGUGCACCCUUGCUGUAGUGCUGGGGCUGAAAUGUGCCCCACUAACCAGUCUCUUGCAGAUUUCUUCAGAAAAAAAGAAACUAUCGCUGAAGGUGUUAUUUCUAAGUGGGGUGAUUCACUCUCAUGAAGCAGGCACACUGAGGAGGGCAGAGGGGACUUCAGUGAAUGCUACAGCAGCCCACUCCCCUGUCUCAGGAUGAAGGAAUUGCUCCUAGGCAGGUUUCCAGCUGAGAGGUUCCCUAGGAGUUGCCUUCAGCCACAGAGAAGACCAUUUGCCUUAGAGGUCAUAGGCCAAAGGAGGCUGCUUAGUGUCUGGCCAGUGCAGGGGAGGACAGUGACUGACUAGUUGCCUCAAGCUGCUCCUCUGAAAGGUGGGGUUGGCUAAAGCCCCCCAAAACGUACUUCAACCCCACUUCCUAUGUCUGAUUCUUUUCACUCCUCAUGGUCAUUCUUCCCCCAGAUACUCCACGCAUGUGCACACAAGACCAUUCCUUUGGAGCAUCCCUGGCCCUAAACUCCCCUUGGCUCCUGUGGUUGGACACUUUGGAAUGGGUCCUGAGAGUUCAACACUGCCACCGCUUGUGGCCAUUGGUGCUUCUCCAUUCUUCCUGAUCCUGGUUUACCUUCUAGUUUUCCCAUGGUGCUUUGGCUUAAGCCAAACUUUUUCAUGUUUCCAUUCUCUGCCUAUGCAACGCAUGAGUAUCUGUGUAUGUAAAUAAUUGAGUUAUAAACCCAGUUCAUAUAACUUUAAAAUAAUCCCAAACAGUAAUGAUUACAUUCUAUACAUAGCAAGCACGAUUGAUCAGGUUUACAUUCUGUUUUCAGGCACCUUUCGAAUACUUUGUAGUACUAGUUCUGUUUUGAGUGUUAUUGAGAAGUCAUGGUUUUUCAUAUAUAAGGAAAUAUUUCAAUCAAUCGCGAAGGACACCGGCAAGCCAUUCUCAAACGACCAUAUCUUUAUCAGCUGUGGGAAUCUUCAUACGGCCUCCCUUCUCUCUUAAAGCUGGCCCUCUAUCUUUUUUUCUUUUCUUUUCUUUUCUUGGAUAUUUUCUUUGUUUACAUUUCAAAUGUUUUCUCCUUCCUAGGUCUCCCCUUCAGAACCCACCUAUCCCAUCCCCCUUGCCUCUAUGAGGCUGCACCACCCCCCACUCCCAUCUUCCAGCCCUGGCAUUCUCUCACACUGGGGCAUCGAACACCCUCAGGUCCAAGAGCCUCUCCUCUCAGUGAUGUCCAACAAGGCCAUCCUCUGCCAAAUAUGCGGCUGGAGCCAUGGGUCUUUCUAUGUGUACUCUUUGGUUGGUGGUCCAGUGUCUGGGAGCUCCAAGGGUGUGUGUGUCUUGGCCCUCUAUCUGUUAAAAGAAUCCUUACUUGACCUGAAAUUUCUUUUCCAGAAAGAGUAGAAACUUCUAUACUUCAAGGAUCUCGGUUUUUCUUGCAGAACAAGAUUUGAGUGCCAGGAUAACAUCUCAGGUAUUGUUGCUGCUGGGCCACUUUUACAAACAACAGCGUUGGAGGUGAUAAAGCUUCGAUCUCAGUCUGAUAUUUCCAAUUAGACAUUUUGUAUUGGACUUUAGCCAUAGUUCCAUCGGCCUCCUAAAAUUCCACCACAGUGAUGGUCUUACAUACUUUUAUGCUGGCUACCAGAGGUAGGGAUCAUUAUUCUGUUUAAAGUGAUCAAACUGAAGACUCACAGGUUGGUAGUCUUGCAUAAAAGUCCAGAGAAGCAAAUGUUUGGUGCCCAGAACUGGGUGCUAGCUUCUGUGUCUGAGGGUCACAUUGGUCCCAUGGGUUGCUAGCACAAGUAGCAGGUGUUGGGAUUCAUAUUGUGUGACACUGAGUCACUUUGUGAAAUGUACCGGAUGAAUGUUAGAAUACAUUUAACCUCUUUCUUCCAUGUAGUUUUCCUCCUUACUGGAUGUCAGAAGUAUCAAACCUAAAUUCAGCUUCCUUCUUACUUAAGCUGGUGUCUGUCUGUCUUUUACACUUCUGGGGUGCAGGAAGCCUGUUACAUGCAUUGCUGUCUUGACAAUUGGAUAUGAGAAGGUUUAAAAGCUGGAGUUUGCUAAUGCUGUUAACCCGAGCUGCUGAAUCUGUUAGAACGGCCUGUGCGACCUGAAUCUCAAAUCCAGGAUGUGGCUAUGUCCUGCUUCAUGAACUAUGAUGGGAGGAGAUGGGCAGAUUUCAUGGUGCAUCAUUCUAGAAGAUCCUUGAACCACCCACCUUGGGACUGGAAAUGGAAACCUACAGCUUCUUUUGGAUUUUUCUUUCUUCAUAAGGUGAAAAAGAAUGCAGGGGAAGAAAAGAGUGUGACAGAAACACAUCUUAAAAAGACAUCUUUUCCAGGCUCAUACACAAACCAUUAACAGAUUGGUAAAUGCAUUUGAAGUGAUACUCUAAGCUGACACAGGCAGGAGUCCUGGCUGUCCUCUGAGAGGCUUUAUGCAACAACUGACUCAGAUGCAGAGCCAAACAUUGGAUGAAGAUCGAGGACAUGAAGAGUUGGGGGAAGGAUUGAGAGCCUGGAAAGGGAUAGGCAC